rnacentral:rRNA from 1 species
AGGGGAGCGUUCUGUAAGCCUGCGAAGGUGUGCUGUGAGGCAUGCUGGAGGUAUCAGAAGUGCGAAUGCUGACAUAAGUAACGAUAAAGCGGGUGAAAAGCCCGCUCGCCGGAAGACCAAGGGUUCCUGUCCAACGUUAAUCGGGGCAGGGUGAGUCGACCCCUAAGGCGAGGCCGAAAGGCGUAGUCGAUGGGAAACAGGUUAAUAUUCCUGUACUUGGUGUUACUGCGAAGGGGGGACGGAGAAGGCUAUGUUGGCCGGGCGACGGUUGUCCCGGUUUAAGCGUGUAGGCUGGUUUUCCAGGCAAAUCCGGAAAAUCAAGGCUGAGGCGUGAUGACGAGGCACUACGGUGCUGAAGCAACAAAUGCCCUGCUUCCAGGAAAAGCCUCUAAGCAUCAGGUAACAUCAAAUCGUACCCCAAACCGACACAGGUGGUCAGGUAGAGAAUACCAAGGCGCUUGAGAGAACUCGGGUGAAGGAACUAGGCAAAAUGGUGCCGUAACUUCGGGAGAAGGCACGCUGAUAUGUAGGUGAAGUCCCUCGCGGAUGGAGCUGAAAUCAGUCGAAGAUACCAGCUGGCUGCAACUGUUUAUUAAAAACACAGCACUGUGCAAACACGAAAGUGGACGUAUACGGUGUGACGCCUGCCCGGUGCCGGAAGGUUAAUUGAUGGGGUCAGCGCAAGCGAAGCUCUUGAUCGAAGCCCCGGUAAACGGCGGCCGUAACUAUAACGGUCCUAAGGUAGCGAAAUUCCUUGUCGGGUAAGUUCCGACCUGCACGAAUGGCGUAAUGAUGGCCAGGCUGUCUCCACCCGAGACUCAGUGAAAUUGAACUCGCUGUGAAGAUGCAGUGUACCCGCGGCAAGACGGAAAGACCCCGUGAACCUUUACUAUAGCUUGACACUGAACAUUGAGCCUUGAUGUGUAGGAUAGGUGGGAGGCUUUGAAGUGUGGACGCCAGUCUGCAUGGAGCCGACCUUGAAAUACCACCCUUUAAUGUUUGAUGUUCUAACGUUGACCCGUAAUCCGGGUUGCGGACAGUGUCUGGUGGGUAGUUUGACUGGGGCGGUCUCCUCCUAAAGAGUAACGGAGGAGCACGAAGGUUGGCUAAUCCUGGUCGGACAUCAGGAGGUUAGUGCAAUGGCAUAAGCCAGCUUGACUGCGAGCGUGACGGCGCGAGCAGGUGCGAAAGCAGGUCAUAGUGAUCCGGUGGUUCUGAAUGGAAGGGCCAUCGCUCAACGGAUAAAAGGUACUCCGGGGAUAACAGGCUGAUACCGCCCAAGAGUUCAUAUCGACGGCGGUGUUUGGCACCUCGAUGUCGGCUCAUCACAUCCUGGGGCUGAAGUAGGUCCCAAGGGUAUGGCUGUUCGCCAUUUAAAGUGGUACGCGAGCUGGGUUUAGAACGUCGUGAGACAGUUCGGUCCCUAUCUGCCGUGGGCGCUGGAGAACUGAGGGGGGCUGCUCCUAGUACGAGAGGACCGGAGUGGACGCAUCACUGGUGUUCGGGUUGUCAUGCCAAUGGCACUGCCCGGUAGCUAAAUGCGGAAGAGAUAAGUGCUGAAAGCAUCUAAGCACGAAACUUGCCCCGAGAUGAGUUCUCCCUGACUCCUUGAGAGUCCUGAAGGAACGUUGAAGACGACGACGUUGAUAGGCCGGGUGUGUAAGCGCAGCGAUGCGUUGAGCUAACCGGUACUAAUGAACCGUGAGGCUUAACCUUACAACGCCGAAGCUGUU